rnacentral:lncRNA from 1 species
UUUUCACUCCCCAUUACAUCCUCAACAAACGCAUAAAACUCUCUCUCUCUCUCUCUCUCUCUAAAUAAUAAUAACUUACUUAGUCGUACNAACAAACGACACAAACUACUCUCUCUCUCUCUCUCUCUCUAAAUAAUAGAAAUCUUAUGUCGAUCAAUGGGAUAUGAUCAUCUCGAAUUGCUUUAAGAGCCCUCGCAAUUAUAUCUACGAUGCUUUCCAAAUCAAGAUUAUGCAGCAAAGGAGUCGGUUGCUAGCUGCACAACUGGAGAGCAACAAUAAGUCCUCUCUCUCUCUCUCUGUGGGAAUGAAUGAGGCAAUGGAUCAGUGUUAAAGAGAAGCAAUAUACUCUUGUCGGUGGUUUUGUAG